GGAUGAGGUAGGAGGAUCCUUUGAAUCUAUGAGUUCAAGAUCAUCUUGGACACAUUGCAAGACUCUGACUCAACAAAUAAAGAUUCUCAUGCUGCUUUGGCUGACCUGGAACUUGCCAUGUAGCUGCAUUUGGACUCCUGCUCCUUCAGAACGCUGGGUUUACGUAGUGAUGGGGAUCUAAAACAACCUGCUAGGUGAGCCCUCUACUGAGCUAUGCUCCCAGCACUCCAUGCUGUCUUUUCACCAAAGUUAACCAGCUAUCAUUUUACAAACCACAGAAAAUAGAGGGAUCAACUGUAAUUCCUUUGGUUAGUGGAACCGAUUUGUGCAGAGAAAUUCACCGAGCUGUUUAGUUUGCAGAAUUGUAUCUACUUUAGAAUCUACUGGUGCUGAAUAAACAAACGCUUUCAUUUAAAUCAUUUCUGUCCU